UGAGUGCUUGCACUUGGAUGGACUGAGUGGCGGACGGGUGAGUAACGCGUGGGUAACCUGCCUUAUACAGGGGGAUAACAGUUGGAAACGACUGCUAAUACCGCAUAAGCGCACGGUAUCGCAUGAUACAGUGUGAAAAACUCCGGUGGUAUGAGAUGGACCCGCGUCUGAUUAGCUAGUUGGCGGGGUAACGGCCCACCAAGGCGACGAUCAGUAGCCGACCUGAGAGGGUGACCGGCCACAUUGGGACUGAGACACGGCCCAAACUCC
rnacentral:rRNA from 1 species